AUUGAACGCUGGCGGCAGGCCUAACACAUGCAAGUCGAACGAGUGGCGGACGGGUGAGUAAUGUCUGGGAAACUGCCUGAUGGAGGGGGCUAACUACUGGAAACGGUGGCUAAUACCGCAUACGAUGGUAUGUGCCCACAUGGGAUUAGCGAGUCGGUGGGGUAACGGCUCACCUAGGCGACGAUGCUUAGCUGGUCUGAGAGGCUGACCAGCCACACUGGAACUGAGACAAGGCCCAGACUCCUACGGGAGGCAGCAGUGGGGAAUAUUGCACAAUGGGCGAAAGCCUGAUGCAGCCAUGCCGCGUGUAUGAAGAAGGCCUUCGGGUUGUAAAGUACUGUCAGCGGGGAGGCGUUACCCGAAGAAGAAGCACCGGCUAACUCCGUGCCAGCAGCCGCGGUAAUAC
rnacentral:rRNA from 1 species